AUGAGUAGCGAUAAUUAAUGUGAGAAUCAUUAACGCCGUAAACCCAAGGUUUCCUACGCGAUGCUCGUCAUCGUAGGGUUAGUCGGGUCCUAAGUCGAGUCCGAAAGGGGUAGACGAUGGCAAAUUGGUUAAUAUUCCAAUACCAACAUUAGUGUGCGAUGGAAGGACGCUUAGGGCUAAGGGGGCUAGCGGAUGGAAGUGCUAGUCUAAGGUCGUAGGAGGUUAUACAGGCAAAUCCGUAUAACAAUACUCCGAGAACUGAAAGGCUUUUUGAAGUCUUCGGAUGGAUAGAAGAACCCCUGAUGCCGUCGAGCCAAGAAAAGUUUCUAAGUUUAGCUAAUGUUGCCCGUACCGUAAACCGACACAGGUGGGUGGGAUGAGUAUUCUAAGGCGCGUGGAAGAACUCUCUUUAAGGAACUCUGCAAAAUAGCACCGUAUCUUCGGUAUAAGGUGUGGUUAGCCUUGUAUUAGGAUUUACUCCGAAAGCAAGGAAACUUACAACAAAGAGUCCCUCCCGACUGUUUACCAAAAACACAGCACUCUGCUAACUCGUAAGAGGAUGUAUAGGGUGUGACGCCUGCCCGGUGCUCGAAGGUUAAUUGAUGGGGUUAGCAUUAGCGAAGCUCUUGAUCGAAGCCCGAGUAAACGGCGGCCGUAACUAUAACGGUCCUAAGGUAGCGAAAUUCCUUGUCGGUUAAAUACCGACCUGCAUGAAUGGCGUAACGAGAUGGGAGCUGUCUCAAAGAGGGAUCCAGUGAAAUUGUAGUGGAGGUGAAAAUUCCUCCUACCCGCGGCAAGACGGAAAGACCCCGUGGACCUUUACUACAGCUUGACACUGCUACUUGGAUAAGAAUGUGCAGGAUAGGUGGGAGGCUUUGAGUAUAUGACGCCAGUUGUAUAUGAGCCAUUGUUGAGAUACCACUCUUUCUUAUUUGGGUAGCUAACCAGCUUGAGUUAUCCUCAAGUGGGACAAUGUCUGGUGGGUAGUUUGACUGGGGCGGUCGCCUCCCAAAUAAUAACGGAGGCUUACAAAGGUUGGCUCAGAACGGUUGGAAAUCGUUCGUAGAGUAUAAAGGUAUAAGCCAGCUUAACUGCAAGACAUACAAGUCAAGCAGAGACGAAAGUCGGUCUUAGUGAUCCGGUGGUUCUGUGUGGAAGGGCCAUCGCUCAAAGGAUAAAAGGUACCCCGGGGAUAACAGGCUGAUCUCCCCCAAGAGCUCACAUCGACGGGGAGGUUUGGCACCUCGAUGUCGGCUCAUCGCAUCCUGGGGCUGGAGCAGGUCCCAAGGGUAUGGCUGUUCGCCAUUUAAAGCGGUACGCGAGCUGGGUUCAGAACGUCGUGAGACAGUUCGGUCCCUAUCUGCCGUGGGCGUAAGAAGAUUGAAGAGAUUUGACCCUAGUACGAGAGGACCGGGUUGAACAAACCACUGGUGUAGCUGUUGUUCUGCCAAGAGCAUCGCAGCGUAGCUAAGUUUGGAAAGGAUAAACGCUGAAAGCAUCUAAGCGUGAAGCCAACUCUAAGAUGAAUCUUCUCUAAGCUCUCUAGAAGACUACUAGUUUGAUAGGCUGGGUGUGUAAUGGAUGAAAGUCCUUUAGCUGACCAGUACUAAUAGAGCGUUUGGCUUAUCUUUAAUAAAGCAU
rnacentral:rRNA from 1 species